GUGCUUGCAUUGGCAGCACACAUACUGACAUUGGGACGCUACAGAGAAGAAUAGUGUGGCCCCUGUGCAAGGAUGACAUGCAAAUUUGUGAAGCGUUCCAUAUUUUU